rnacentral:rRNA from 1 species
AUUGAACGCUGGCGGCAGGGUUAACACAUGCAAGUCGAGCGGGGGAAGGUAGCUUGCUACCGGACCUAGCGGCGGACGGGUGAGUAAUGCAUAGGAAUCUGCCUAUUAGUGGGGGACAACAUCUCGAAAGGGAUGCUAAUACCGCAUACGUCCUAUGGGAGAAAGCAGGGGAUCUUCGGACCUCUCGCUAAUAGAUGAGCCUAAGUCGGAUUAGCUAGUUGGUGGGGUAAAGGCCUACCAAGGCGACGAUCUGUAGCGGGUCUGAGAGGAUGAUCCGCCACACUGGGACUAAGACACGGCCCAGACUCCUACGGGAGGCAGCAGUGGGGAAUAUUGGACAAUGGGGGGAACCCUGAUCCAGCCAUGCCGCGUGUGUGAAGAAGGCCUUAUGGCUGUAAAGCACUUUAAGCGAGGAGGAGGCUACUUUAGUUAAUACCUAGAGAUAGUGGACGUUACUCGCAGAAUAAGCACCGGCUAACUCUGUGCCAGCCGCCGCCGUAA